GACGAACGCUGUUGGCGUGCCUAACACAUGCAAGUCGAGCGAAGUGAGUACUACGGUACGAACUUAGCGGCGGACGGGCGAGUAACGCGUGGACAAUCUACCCUGUCGACUGGGAUAACACCUCGAAAGGGGUGCUAAUACCGGAUAAUGUCGAGAAGCGGCAUCGCUUUUCGAAGAAAGGAGAGAAUCCGCUAUAGGAGGAGUCCGCGUCCCAUUAGCUAGUUGGUGAGGGUAACGGCCCACCAAGGCGACGAUGGGUAGCCGGCCUGAGAGGGUGAACGGCCACACUGGAACUGAUAAACAGUCCAGACUCCUACGGGAGGCAGCAGUGGGGAAUAUUGUGCAAUGGGGGCAACCCUGACACAGCAACGCCGCGUGAGCGAAGAAGGCCUUCGGGUUGUAAAGCUCAAUAGUAUGGGAAGAUAAUGACGGUACCAUACGAAAGCCCCGGCUAACUACGUGCCAGCCGCCGCAGUAAUAC
rnacentral:rRNA from 1 species